rnacentral:rRNA from 1 species
GACGAACGCUGGCGGCGUGCUUAACACAUGCAAGUCGAACGAUGAAGCCGGAGCUUGCUCUGGUGAAUUAGUGGCGAACGGGUGAGUAACACGUGAGUAACCUGCCCUUGACUCUGGGAUAACUGCUAGAAAUGGUAGCUAAUACCGGAUACGACCCUCGGAGGCAUCUCCAGGGGGUGGAAAGAAUUUCGGUCAAGGAUGGACUCGCGGCCUAUCAGCUAGUUGGUGAGGUAACAGCUCACCAAGGCGACGACGGGUAGCCGGCCUGAGAGGGUAACCGGCCACACUGGGACUGAGACACGGCCCAGACUCCUACGGGAGGCAGCAGUGGGGAAUAUUGCACAAUGGGCGCAAGCCUGAUGCAGCAACGCCGCGUGAGGGAUGACGGCCUUCGGGUUGUAAACCUCUUUUAGUAGGGAAGAAGCGAAAGUGACGGUACCUGCAGAAAAAGCACCGGCUAACUACGUGCCAGCCGCCGCAGUAA